UAAUGAAGGAAGCAUGGUGAUGUGCACGGAAAUUGAACAACUUUGGGUCCGCAUGUCUGCCCUCUCUGAUUCUCUCUGAUUUGAGGGCCUGGUUACGACCCACAUCA
rfam:Prunus persica cultivar Lovell chromosome G6, whole genome shotgun sequence.